GUUGGAAACGACUGCUAAUACCGCAUAAUCCCUGAGGGGGAAAGGAGGGGAUCUGUUUACAGACCUUUCGCUAUUUGAUGAGCCUGCGUGAGAUUAGCUAGUUGGUGAGGUAAUGGCUCACCAAGGCGACGAUCUCUAGCUGGUCUGAGAGGAUGAUCAGCCACACUGGAACUGAGACACGGUCCAGACUCCUACGGGAGGCAGCAGUGGGGAAUAUUGCACAAUGGGGGAAACCCUGAUGCAGCCAUGCCGCGUGUGUGAAGAAGGCCUUCGGGUUGUAAAGCACUUUCAGCGAGGAGGAAAGGAGUAUGUUUAAUAAACGUGCUCU
rnacentral:rRNA from 1 species